rnacentral:rRNA from 1 species
UGGGGAAUAUUGGACAAUGGGCGGAAGCCUGAUCCAGCAACGCCGCGUGAGGGAUGACGGCCUUCGGGUUGUAAACCUCUUUCAGUACCGACGAAGCGAAAGUGACGGUAGGUACAGAAGAAGGACCGGCCAACUACGUGCCAGCAGCCGCGGUAAUACGUAGGGUCCGAGCGUUGUCCGGAAUUAUUGGGCGUAAAGGGCUCGUAGGCGGUUUGUCGCGUCGGGAGUGAAAACAGCGGGCUUAACUCGUUGCUUGCUUUCGAUACGGGCAGACUAGAGGUAUGCAGGGGAGAAUGGAAUUCCUGGUGUAGCGGUGAAAAUGCGCAGAUAUCAGGAGGAACACCGGUGGCGAAGGCGGUUCUCUGGGCAUUACCUGACGCUGAGGAGCGAAAGUGUGGGGAGCGAACAGGAUUAGAUACCCUGGUAGUCCACACCGUAAACGUUGGGCGCUAGGUGUGGGGUCCUUUCCACGGAUUCCGUGCCGUAGCUAACGCAUUAAGCGCCCCGCCUGGGGGAGUACGGCCGCAAGGCUC